GUCUUUUUGAUAAAUAAUUUAAAGUCUAAUCUGCCCCCUGAAAUUAUUUUAAAGGGCUGCGGUAUCUUAACCGUACAAAGGUAGCAUAAUAAUUAGGUUUUUAAUUGAAAUCUUGAAUGAAUGAUUGGACGAGAUAUGGGCUGUUUUAAGAUAUAAGAUAGAAUUUAAUUUUUUAGUUAAAAAGCUAAAAUAUUAUUAAAAGACGAGAAGACCCUAUAAAUCUUUAUAAUACAAUUAUUUUAAUAAGUUAUUUUAAUUAAAGCUUAUUUAAAUGAUGGAUUUAUUUUAUUGGGGUGAUAUAAAAAUUUUUUAAACUUUUUAUUAUUUAUUUACUAAAAUUAAAGAUUUUAUUAAAUGAUCUAUUAUUAAUAAAUAAAAGAAAAAGAUACUUUAGGGAUAACAGCGUAAUUUUAAUAUUAAGUUCGUAUUAUUAUUAAAGAUUGCGACCUCGAUGUUGGAUUAAAAUUUAAUUUAAAUGCAAAAGUUUAAAAAUUAAGUCUGUUCGACUUUUAAAAUUUU
rnacentral:rRNA from 1 species